rnacentral:rRNA from 1 species
UCAGUCCUACGGGACGCAGCAGUGGGGAAUAUUGCGCAAUGGGGAAACCCUGACGCAGCAACGCCGCGUGCGGGAUGAAGGCCUUCGGGUUGUAAACCGCUUUCAGCAGGGUAGACGCAGACGGUACCUGCAGAAGAAGCCCCGGCUAACUACGUGCCAGCAGCCGCGGUAAUACGUAGGGGGCGAGCGUUAUCCGGAUUCAUUGGGCGUAAAGCGCGCGCAGGCGGACCGUUAAGCGGGACCUCUAAUCCUGGGGCUCAACCUCAGGCCGGGUCCCGAACUGGCGGUC